rnacentral:lncRNA from 1 species
AGCAGUGAGUCGGAGCUCUAUGGAGGUGGCAGCGGGUACCGAGUGGCGGCUGCAGCAGCGACUCCUCUGAGCUGAGUUUGAGGCCGUCCCCGACUCCUUCCUCCCCCUUCCCUCCCCCUUUUUUUUGUUUUCCGUUCCCCUUUCCCCUCCCUUCCCUAUCCCCGACGACCGGAUCCUGAGGAGGCAGCUGCGGUGGCAGCUGCUGAGUUCUCGGUGAAGAUUCUUCGUUGUCAAGCCGCCAAAGUGGAGAGUGCGAUUGCAGAAGGGGGUGCUUCUCGUUUCAGUGCUUCUUCGGGCGGAGGAGGAAGUAGGGGUGCACCUCAGCACUAUCCCAAGACUGCUGGCAACAGCGAGUUCCUGGGGAAAACCCCAGGGCAAAACGCUCAGAAAUGGAUUCCUGCACGAAGCACUAGACGAGAUGACAACUCCGCAGCAAACAACUCCGCAAACGAAAAAGAACGACAUGAUGCAAUCUUCAGGAAAGUAAGAGGCAUACUAAAUAAGCUUACUCCUGAAAAGUUUGACAAGCUAUGCCUUGAGCUCCUCAAUGUGGGUGUAGAGUCUAAACUCAUCCUUAAAGGGGUCAUACUGCUGAUUGUGGACAAAGCCCUAGAAGAGCCAAAGUAUAGCUCACUGUAUGCUCAGCUAUGUCUGCGAUUGGCAGAAGAUGCACCAAACUUUGAUGGCCCAGCAGCAGAGGGUCAACCAGGACAGAAGCAAAGCACCACAUUCAGACGCCUCCUAAUUUCCAAAUUACAAGAUGAAUUUGAAAACCGAACUAGAAAUGUUGAUGGUAAGACUUAUAGCUGAUAAUAAGUACUACUGUAUAUUUUCAGCUUAAUUCUGAAUGUUGGCUUACUUCAUUGGUAUCUUUUUCAGUCUAUGAUAAGCGUGAAAAUCCCCUCCUCCCCGAGGAGGAGGAACAGAGAGCCAUUGCUAAGAUCAAGAUGUUGGGAAACAUCAAAUUCAUUGGAGAGCUUGGCAAGCU